rnacentral:rRNA from 4 species
UACCUGGUUGAUCCUGCAA